rnacentral:rRNA from 1 species
GGCUGCAGUGGGGAAUAUUGGACAAUGGGGGCAACCCUGAUCCAGCAAUGCCGCGUGAGUGAUGAAGGCCUUCGGGUUGUAAAGCUCUUUCGGCGGGGAAGAUGAUGACGGUACCCGCAGAAGAAGCCCCGGCUAACUUCGUGCCAGCAGCCGCGGUAAUACGAAGGGGGCUAGCGUUGUUCGGAAUUACUGGGCGUAAAGGGCGCGUAGGCUGUGCUGUAAGUCAGGCGUGAAAUCCCCGGGCUCAACCUGGGAAUUGCGCAUGAUACUGCGGCGCUGGAAUGCGGGAGAGGAUGGCGGAAUUCCCAGUGUAGAGGUGAAAUUCGUAGAUAUUGGGAAGAACACCGGUGGCGAAGGCGGCUCUCUGGACCGAGACUGACGCUGAGGCGCGAAAGCGUGGGGAGCAAACAGGAUUAGAUACCCU